CCUACGGGAGGCAGCAGUGAGGAAUAUUGGUCAAUGGGCGCGAGCCUGAACCAGCCAAGUAGCGUGAAGGAUGACUGCCCUACGGGUUGUAAACUUCUUUUAUAAAGGAAUAAAGUGAGGCACGUGUGCCUUUUUGUAUGUACUUUAUGAAUAAGGAUCGGCUAACUCCGUGCCAGCAGCCGCGGUAAUACGGAGGAUCCGAGCGUUAUCCGGAUUUAUUGGGUUUCAAGGGAGCGUAGGUGGAUUGUUAAGCCAGUUGUGACAGUUUGCGGCUCAACCGUCAAAUUGCAGUGGAAACUGGCAGUGUGGAGUACAGUAGAGGUGGGCGGAAUGCGGGGGGGAGCGGUGAAAUG
rnacentral:rRNA from 1 species